AAAGUCGUAACAAGGUUUCCGUAGGUGAACCUGCGGAAGGAUCAUUAUUGAUUUUAAGAAGAUGUGCUGGCUCUUGCAUGUGCACUCUUCAACAAAACCAAUAUCCACCUGUGCACACUCUGUAGGUGAAGGGUUGCAAAACUCUAAGCCUAUGUCUCUUUACAAACAACCAUUGAUGUAUCUGAAUGUCAUUGAAUAACCAAUUGUAAUACAACUUUCAACAAUGGAUCUCUUGGUUCUC
rnacentral:misc_RNA from 1 species